GUGCCUAACACAUGCAAGUCGAACGAGAAAGUGGAGCAAUCCAUGAGUAAAGUGGCGCACGGGUGAGUAACACGUGACUAACCUACCCUUGAGUGGGGGAUAACCUAGGGAAACCUGGGCUAAUACCGCAUAAUACCUACGGGUCAAAGGAGCAAUUCGCUUAAGGAGGGGGUCGCGGCCGAUUAGUUAGUUGGCGGGGUAAUGGCCCACCAAGACUGUGAUCGGUAUCCGGCCUGAGAGGGCGCGCGGACACACUGGAACUGAAACACGGUCCAG
rnacentral:rRNA from 1 species